rnacentral:rRNA from 1 species
ACCUACGGGAGGCAGCAGUGGGGGAUAUUGCACAAUGGGGGGAACCCUGAUGCAGCGACGCCGCGUGGGUGAAGAAGUAUUUCGGUAUGUAAAGCCCUAUCGGCAGGGAAGAAAUUGGACGGUACCUGACUAAGAAGCCCCGGCUAAAUACGUGCCAGCAGCCGCGGUAAUACGUAUGGUGCAAGCGUUAUCCGGAUUUACUGGGUGUAAAGGGAGCGCAGGCGGCACGGCAAGCCUGAUGUGAAAGCCCGCGGCCCAACCGCGGGACUGCAUUGGGAACUACCGGGCUGGAGUGCCGGAGAGGG